rnacentral:misc_RNA from 1 species
GAUGAAGAACGUAGCGAAAUGCGAUAAGUAAUGUGAAUUGCAGAAUUCAGUGAAUCAUCGAAUCUUUGAACGCACAUUGCGCCCCCUGGUAUUCCGGGGGGCAUGCCUGUUCGAGCGUCAUUUCACCACUCAAGCCUCGCUUGGUAUUGGGCAACGCGGUCCGCCGCGUGCCUCAAAUCGACCGGCUGGGUCUUCUGUCACCUAAGCGUUGUGGAAACUAUUCGCUAAAGGGUGUUCGGGAGGCUACGCCGUAAAACAACCCCAUUUCUAAGGUUGACCUCGGAUCAGGUAGGGAUACCCGCUGAACUUAAGCAUAUCAAUAAGCGGAGGA